AAAACCAAGGGAGCCGCCCAUAGGCUCGACACAGCACGGGAAGAUUACAAGAAACACUUCCAAAUAUUACAAUAGAGAAACCAGUUCACAGUUCAACCCAUAUGGUUGGUGACAAAGUCCAAAAUUACUCAAAUACCUUCAAAUGAGUCAUUGGUUGUGUUAGCUGUAAAGCCCAAGAAUUAAAGAAAACCAUUGACACUCUUAAUAGAAGUUAUAGAAAGUACACAAGAUGAAUUCAUAAAUUCAAGAAAGAAAAGCCAAUAGAGAAAGUCCUACCAGGCGCUCUUGAUAGAAGCUAUAGAAACUAGAGAAGAUGAAUUCAUAAAUUCAAUAAUGAAAAGCCAAAGAGAAAGUCAUAUCAGGCUCAAUGCUAUGCAACACCUGACAAAAACAAUUCAAUCCUUACUGUUAGGUGAUCAAGUCCAGAGAAAUUAAUAAGAUGAAGCUGAAGAAAUAAUAUUAUCCUGAGCAGUUGCAAAUCAAUAAAAGUAGCAAUAAAAUGGUUGAUGUAACACAAGAGGAGAACAAGAAAAUCGGUAUCUCAUUUAUUCUCAAUCUGAACCACUGCAAAUAAAAUCAAGGAAAACACUUUAAAACAGAAAAGACAAAAAUAAACCCUCAGAAUAUGAAUAGCAAAGCCAAGACUCAUGAAAUUGUAGUCACAAGUAGACUAAAAAUAAAAAGACAAAACCAGGAAUUCCAAUGAUAAAUUAUGCUAGAACAAGUUCAAGAUACAAUUGUUCGAUGCAGAAAAACAAUACGAGACAAAAGAAAAAGUUUUGUAACCAAAGGAAUGAAGUCUUCUUGUUAAUACAACUACUAAAAUGAAAGAAAUGACUCCAAGAACCAAAUUUUCAAUACUGCUAAGAAAAUAUAAUUUUUAGAACUUCAAUGCAAAAAGAUAGAUAAUCAUGCAACACAAAUUAGGCAAGAACAUUGUUGCUUUGCAAGAAUCAAGUUCAAGAUCAAAAUUCAUUUGUCAAUAAAAGAAACUAAUAAAGACAAAAUAAAGUAUAUCGGACAAACACAUCGUCUAUUUCAAACUUCAAUAAUCAACAAGAAUAUAUUCAAAUUUAUAUUUUUUAAUCCUCAACCGGAAUCAUGCUGAAAACGAACUAACACAAACACAUAAAUGGUUGCAUAUGAUAGAUUUAACAUAAAAUAAAUAACUACAUCCAAACUCAAGUAGACAUCUGUCAUCAAAGAGAGACAAAAAAUGUAGGAUAACAAAACCUAACGCAUCAAGGAUCUCCAUCCAUUAUUUAGAUAUCCUACCUCACAUUCCUUUCAUUCGUACACACUCGAAGAUUUUAAUCCUCAACCAGUCUUACACGCAAAAAAGGUAUGAACACAAAGAAAUCAAUAAACCAUAAAAAAAAUUAAGAACAAUAUUUAAAUUCAAAUAGAUAUCAGUAAUAAAAACCAAGAAUUUAAGAAAGCAUAAGAUAAAUUAAUGAAUUCAAAACCGGUGGAGCCUUAGUUGCUCGUAACUAAGGCACGAUGAGAUACAGGUCAUCACACAAAACUAAACAAAACCCUGCUGCAAAGAAACAAAUCACAAUUCAAAUCUUAAUGUUCGGUGAUCAACUCCAGUUCAACACAUAGAAGAAAUUAAAAGAAGAUUCAACCCUUAGGCCUUAUAUAACAUUCUCCAAGAGAUGCUGCAGGACAUUAAGUGAAAAUAAUUCAAACAUCGAACACAAUUCAAUCCAUGGAAAUCAAGUAGAAAAAAUUCAAACAUCGAACAUCAUGUCUUACACUACACCACACAUCCAUUGCGUGCCUUCCCUGUACAGCCCAAAAGUUCAAGAAACGAAUUAGCUGUACAGCCAAAAAUUCAAGAAACGAAAUAAGCUCUUAAUAAAAAGAAGAAUAGAAAAAUGAUAAAGAUGAAGAUGCAGAUGCAGAUAAAGACUAAAAAACUCUUGGACAGUUACACAACUAAUCCAAACAAAACACCACUGCAGACAAACACCAAUAAACAAAUCAUAAUCCAAUCCUUAUUUUCAGUGAUGAAUACCAGAUAAAUUAAAUAAUAGAAAUGAGACUAAAAGAAGACUUGGAUCAAUUGGCCUUUCUGAACUACUAUGUUUUUCAUUUCAUCCAUAGACAAAAAAAAUCUCAAGACCCAAGCACCAGCAGAAAAGGGAUAAAGGAAUUUGAUCAAAAGAUUUAAAACUCUCCAUCAUCACAAAGAAUCACAUUCGGCGUAAAUGAAUCACAAUCCAAUAAAAGCACAUUGAUCACUUACUAAUAAUUCUUAAUAACUCUUCUAUUCCACGACGCAAACAUCAUGUAAUUCCACAAAACAUUAUAGAGAAUCACAACCCAAAGCAAUACCAACAAAACUGAUCUUGGAUAUUGACCAAACAUAAUAUUUCAAUUGGGGUUUUAGUUUCACGCUGUAGGAUUUGGUUUCAACUCUGGAGAUUUCCAAAAAGAUGGUAAGUUACAGAGAUUUAACAUUGAAAAAGUGAAAUAAGAGACGAAAGAGAGAAGAGUACCUUUGACGCUUGAAGUUCACAACUCAACCCAUAUGUUUGGGAUCAAGAAUAAUGAAUCGAAAGGUUUUGGAAAACUAUUAAAAGAACAAAAGACCUAUAUUAUAGAAUUAUGCAGAGAAGUCAACAAAAUUAAAUAGUAGAACUUUUCAAACCAAGAAGCAAACCAUCAAAUCAAAGAGUAAAGCCCAACCGCACUUGUAUCAUGCUCAUCCCACAAUGCCUCUUAGAACCAUACAUUAUCAAAAUACAACGAAGAUUAUAAUCAAACCAACAAGUUACAACCAAGAUUAUAAUCAAACCGACAAGUUGAGCCAGUUAAAAAAUAAUUCAGAUGAACACAACAAUGUCCUGGUGAAAGAAACAUUUAGUUUCACCAAUCACAGAAUUUCCACCCACCAUUUUUACAUCUUACACCACACUUCAUUGCUUAGCUUUCCUGUAAGGCCAAUGAAUUCAAGAAAACUAUAAUCAAUAAGGAUAGAUGAUGGAGGACCUAGACGUAUCGCUCUUGCUUAGAUACAUACAAUGAAAUACCUUCCAACUAUCCAGCCAAUAAGAGAAACUCUAGACAUUCCAAAUCCAGCACAUCAGAAAAAUAGUGAGUAGAAAAGUAAUAAAACCUGAAGCUUCACAAUAUGUGCAACAAACAUCCAUGAUAAGUGUUCAUUGCAACACAAGUAGAAAAAUAAAUCAGAUCAUCAAAGUCAAAGGCCCAAUUACAAGAACUCCCGCUCCACAAGAGUAGCAAAAAGAAUAACAACAAAGAAAAUAAUGAAUGCAAAGUUAAUAAAACCUAAACUUUAACUGUAUCUCCAUUCGCUGUUUCCAAAACCUGACCCCUACAUCCUUCAUGUAAAAACUCAAGAAGAUUCACGGCAAAGCUCAAAGUUCACUACAACACAAGUAUAAGAUAAUCAAAUCAUCAAAGUCAAAGGCCCAAUUACAAGAACUCACACUCCACAAGAAAAGCAAAAAGAAUAACAACAAAGAAAAUAAUGAAUGCAAAGAUUUUUUUUAUCAGCAUAAUAAAUGCAAAGAUAAUAAAACCUAAACUUUAACUGUAUCUCCAUCCACUGUUUCCAAAACCUGAACCCCACAUCCUUCAUGUAAAAGCUCAAGAAGAUUCAGGGCACGCUCAAGAAGACUCAUGGCAAAUCUCAAGAAGACUCAUGGCAAAGCACAAGAAGACUCAUGGCAAAGCACAAGAAGACUCAUGGCAAAGCUAAAGAAGUCUCAUGGAAAAGCUCAAGAAGUCUCAUGGCAAAGCUCAAGAAAACUCGUGGCAAAGCUCAAUAAGACUCAUGGAAAAGCUCAAGAAGACUCAUGGCAAAGGUCAAAGUUCACUACAACACAAGUAUAAGAUAAUCAAAUCAUAAAAGUCAAAGGCCCAAUUACAAGAACUCACACUCCACAAGAAAAGCAAAAAGAAUAACAGCAAAGAAAAUAAUGAAUGCUAAGAUUUUUUUUAUCAGCAUAAUAAAUGCAAAGAUAAUAAAACCUAAACUUUAACUGUAUCUCCAUCCACUGUUUCCAAAACCUGAACCCCACAUCCUUCAUGUAAAAGCUCAAGAAGAUUCAGGGCAACGCUCAAGAAGACUUAUGGCAAAUCUCAAGAAGACUCAUGGCAAAGCUCAAGAAGUCUCAUGGAAAAGCUCAAGAAGUCUCAUGGCAAAGCUCAAGAAGACUCAUGGCAAAGCUAAAGAAGUCUCAUGGAAAAGCUCAAGAAGUCUCAUGGCAAAGCUCAAGAAGACUCAUGGCAAAGCUCAAAGUUCACUACAACACAAGUAUAAGAUAAUCAAAUCAUCAAAGUCAAAGGCCCAAUUACAAGAACUCCGACUCCACAAGAGUAGCAAAAAGAAUAACAGCAAAGAAAAUAAUGAAUGCAAAGAUUUUUUUUAUCAGCAUAAUAAAUGCAAAGAUAAUGAAACCUAAAGUUUAACUGUAUCUCCAUCAACUAUUUCCAAAACCUGACCCCUACAUCCUUCAUGGCAAAGCUCAAGAAGACUCAUGGCGAUUUGAGAAAACUAAUCUUAAAAAGAUGACAUGACAAAGUAAAGAAACAAUAAGAUAAAUUCACUAAUAAAAAAUAUCAAGGGAAGCCACAAAUCAAAACGAAGAGCACGAAGAAGAUUACAACAACACUUUGAAAUACUAUUGUAGAUAAACAACAGUUCAACCCAUAUGUUAGGUGAUCAAGUCCAAAAACAUUAAAUAAUAAAGACCAAAAUCAGCAAGGGAAUAAGAUUGAGAAAUAUAGUUAGCAAUAAUAUACAGUCCGCUUCCAUAUCCUAUCACAAAUACUGAGACCCCAACCCGAAAGAAGUAAAUAGAGCUCUCAUGUUGGAGCUUUCCUUUUGGAAUAGGUCACUCAUAGCCUUGAGAGAUAGUUUUUCAUUCUCAUAUUGGAAAUAUAACUAAAUAUUACUGUCAUUAUGGAGAACAUUCUCAUUUUGGAAGAUAGUUGGGAUCAUGAGAUCAAGGAUAAGCAUAAUUAAGAAUCGCCCUAGCUUAGACACACAGUGACUGACACGUGUAGCUUCCUACUAUUCAACCAAUAAGAGAGAAUAAAGCCAUUUCAAAUCAAGCACAUAAGAUAGUGAAUGGAAACAUAAUAAAACCUAAAGCUUCACAAGUCCAAUAAUCUACGGCAAUUGCCUCCACAAUCCAACAGACAUCCAUAGUAAGUCAGUGCAACAUGUAGAAAGUCACUGCAACAUGUAGAAGAAGAUAAUCAAAGUCGAAGACACAAACACAAAUGUCAAAGCCUCUCAUAGUCAUAUAGUGCCUGCCUACAAGAACCCCACUCCACAAGUUUAGCCAAAAGAAUAACCGCAAAGAUAAUAAAACCUAAAGUUUCAGUGGUCCGCCAUUCACUGUUUCUGAUACCUGCCCACAUAUAUAUUGCCUUCCAAUAAAAGCUGAACAAGAAUCAUGGUGAUUCGAGAAAACUAACCUCUUUUAAAGAGAUGACAUGACAUAGUAUCGAAAGGUUAAGGUAAAUUCAAAAUUUCAAAACCAAGGGAGGCCACAAAUUCAAAACCAAGGGAGCCGCUCAUAGGCUCGACACAGCACUGGAAGAUUACAAGAAACACUUCCAAAUAUUACAAUAGAGAAACCAAUUCACAGUUCAACCCAUAUGGUUGGUGACAAAGUCCAAAAUUACUCAAAUACCUUCAAAUGAUUCAUUGGUUGUGUUAGCUGUAAAGCCCAAGAAUUAAAGAAAAUCAUUUACACUCUUAAUAGAAGUUAUAGAAACUAGACAAGAUGAAUUCAUAAAUUCAAGAAAGAAAAGCCAAUAGAGAAAGUCCUACCAGGCGCUCUUAAUAGAAGCUAUAGAAACUAGAGAAGAUGAAUUCAUAAAUUCAAGAAUGAAAAGCGAAAGAGAAAGUCAUACCAGGCUCAAUGCUAUGCAACACC
rnacentral:lncRNA from 1 species